AUUCCAGCUCCAAUAGCGUAUAUUAAAGUUGUUGCGGUUAAAAAGCUCGUAGUUGGAUUUCAGUUCCGGACUGACGGUUCACCGCCCGGUGCCUACUGUCACGCUCCGAACAGCCGCACCGCCGGCUUGCACGGGGUGCUCUUCAUCGAGUGUCCCGAGUGGCCGGCACGUUUACUUUGAAAAAAUUAGAGUGCUCAGAGCAGGCUCCUUGAAUGGCCUGAAUGUCUAUGCAUGGAAUAAUGGAAUAGGACCUCGGUUCUAUUUUGUUGGUUUUCGGAACCCGAGGUAAUGACUAAUAGGAAUUGACGGAAGGGCACAUAUUGCGACGCUAGAGGUGAAAUUCUUGGACCGUCGCAAGACGAACUACUGCGAAAGCAUUUGCCAAGGAUGUUUUCAUUAAUCAAGAACGAAAGUUAGAGGUUCGAAGGCGAUCAGAUACCGCCCUAGUUCUAACCAUAAACGAUGCUGACUAGCGAUCCGCCGGCGUUAUUCCCAUGACCCG
rnacentral:rRNA from 1 species